rnacentral:rRNA from 1 species
GAUGAACGCUGGCGGCGUGCCUAAUACGUGCAAGUCGAGCGAACAGAUAAGGAGCUUGCUCCUUUGAAGUUAGCGGCGGACGGGUGAGUAACACGUGGGUAACCUACCUAUAAGACUGGGAUAACUUCGGGAAACCGGAGCUAAUACCGGAUAACAUUUAGAACCGCAUGGUGGGGGGGUGAAAGAUGGUUUUGCUAUCAAGGAUAGAUGGACCCGCGCCGUAUUAGCUAGUUGGUAAGGUAACGGCUUACCAAGGCGACGAUACGUAGCCGACCUGAGAGGGUGAUCGGCCACACUGGAACUGAGACACGGUCCAGACUCCUACGGGAGGCAGCAGUAGGGAAUCUUCCGCAAUGGGCGAAAGCCUGACGGAGCAACGCCGCGUGAGUGAUGAAGGGUUUCGGCUCGUAAAACUCUGUUAUUAGGGAAGAACAAAUGUGUAAGUAACUGUGCACAUCUUGACGGUACCUAAUCAGAAAGCCACGGCUAACUACGUGCCAGCAGCCGCGGUAAUACGUAGGUGGCAAGCGUUAUCCGGAAUUAUUGGGCGUAAAGCGCGCGUAGGCGGUUUCUUAAGUCUGAUGUGAAAGCCCACGGCUCAACCGUGGAGGGUCAUUGGAAACUGGGGAACUUGAGUGCAGAAGAGGAAAGUGGAAUUCCAUGUGUAGCGGUGAAAUGCGCAGAGAUAUGGAGGAACACCAGUGGCGAAGGCGACUUUCUGGUCUGUAACUGACGCUGAUGUGCGAAAGCGUGGGGAUCAAACAGGAUUAGAUACCCUGGUAGUCCACGCCGUAAACGAUGAGUGCUAAGUGUUAGGGGGUUUCCGCCCCUUAGUGCUGCAGCUAACGCAUUAAGCACUCCGCCUGGGGAGUACGACCGCAAGGUUGAAACUCAAAGGAAUUGACGGGGACCCGCACAAGCGGUGGAGCAUGUGGUUUAAUUCGAAGCAACGCGAAGAACCUUACCAAAUCUUGACAUCCUUUGAAAACUCUAGAGAUAGAGCCUUCCCCUUCGGGGGACAAAGUGACAGGUGGUGCAUGGUUGUCGUCAGCUCGUGUCGUGAGAUGUUGGGUUAAGUCCCGCAACGAGCGCAACCCUUAAGCUUAGUUGCCAUCAUUAAGUUGGGCACUCUAGGUUGACUGCCGGUGACAAACCGGAGGAAGGUGGGGAUGACGUCAAAUCAUCAUGCCCCUUAUGAUUUGGGCUACACACGUGCUACAAUGGACAAUACAAAGGGCAGCUAAACCGCGAGGUCAUGCAAAUCCCAUAAAGUUGUUCUCAGUUCGGAUUGUAGUCUGCAACUCGACUACAUGAAGCUGGAAUCGCUAGUAAUCGUAGAUCAGCAUGCUACGGUGAAUACGUUCCCGGGUCU